UAAGCAUAUCAAUAAGCGGAGGAAAAGAAACCAACAGGGAUUGCCUCAGUAACGGCGAGUGAAGCGGCAACAGCUCAAAUUUGAAAUCUGGGUCCUUUGGGCCCCGAGUUGUAAUUUGCAGAAGAUGCUUCGGGCGCGGCUCCGCUCUAACUUCCCUGGAACGGGAGGCCACAGAGGGUGAGAGCCCCGUAUGUGAUCGGCAGCCUGCGCCCGUGUGAAGCUCUUUCGACGAGUCGAGUUGUUUGGGAAUGCAGCUCUAAAUGGGUGGUAUAUUUCAUCUAAAGCUAAAUACUGGCCAGAGACCGAUAGCGCACAAGUAGAGUGAUCGAAAGAUGAAAAGCACUUUGGAAAGAGAGUUAAACAGUACGUGAAAUUGUUGAAAGGGAAGCGCUUGCAACCAGACUUGGGCGGGGUCGAUCAUCCGGGGCUCUCCCUGGUGCACUCGGCCUCGCGCAGGCCAGCAUCGGUUUCGGUGGUUGGAUAAAGGCUUUGGGAAUGUAGCUCCUCUUGGGGAGUGUUAUAGCCCUCGGUGCAAUGCAGCCCACUGGGACCGAGGACCGCGCUUCGGCUAGGAUGCUGGCGUAAUGGUUGUAAGCGACCCGUCUUGAAACACGGACCAAGGAGUCUAACAUCUAUGCGAGUGUUUGGGUGUCAAACCCAUGCGCGUAAUGAAAGUGAACGGAGGUGAGAACCCUGAAGGGUGCAUCAUCGACCGAUCCUGAUGUCUUCGGAUGGAUUUGAGUAAGAGCAUGGCUGUUGGGACCCGAAAGAUGGUGAACUAUGCCUGAAUAGGGUGAAGCCAGAGGAAACUCUGGUGGAGGCUCGCAGCGGUUCUGACGUGCAAAUCGAUCGUCAAAUUUGGGUAUAGGGGCGAAAGACUAAUCGAACCAUCUAGUAGCUGGUUCCUGCC
rnacentral:rRNA from 1 species